rnacentral:lncRNA from 1 species
UAAAUUCCGAUAAAUAUUGGCAAAUCACUAAAUCGAUACAUGAAACUCACAAAACACUAUGGAAAAAAUAUGAAAAUCAUGAUAGAGAUGUAUAAACACAAAAUACAUGAAACACACAAGACACACAGAACACAUGUAAAGCACAUACAAAACACAUGUGAAGGACAUACUAAACACAUGUGAAGCUCAUACACAUGUGAAGGACAUACAAAACAUAUGAUAGAGAUGAAGCACACAUAGAACACAUGUGAAACACAUGACACACACGAAAAACAUACCAACAUACAUACAAAACACAUGAAAUGCAUGAAACACAAACCUACACAUAUGAAACUAAAACCUUCAAUCAUCCUCUAUAUAUAAACACAAGUUGAAUAUCACACCAUCACACAACAUUCAAACCUUCAAUAAUCCUCUAUAUUCACCAAUCUUCCAACUUUCAAAGUGUUUUUCUUUCCUAAAAAUCAUCAAUAUCUCAUCAAUGGGUGAUAGAAGUAGGCGUAGCUUGGCAAUGCAGAUGACACAAUACCAAGCAAGCCAUGCAACUGCCGAUGCAAAAAUGAACGCAGAAGAAGCUGAAUUUGCAAACUCGCUUAUUCAAUAGCAGCACCAUGCCGAAUCUAGCC